rnacentral:rRNA from 1 species
GACGAACGCUGGCGGCGUGCCUAAUACAUGCAAGUCGAACGCAGUGGGGACGGGUGAGUAACACGUGGGUAACCUCCCAUCAGAGGGGAUAACACUUGGAAACAGGUGCUAAACCGAUACUGAUGGAGGACCCGCCGUUGCAUUAGCUAGUUGUUGGGGUAACGGCUCACCAAGGCCACGAUGCAUGGCCGACCGGAGAGGGUGAUCGGCCAAACUGGGACUGAGACACGGCCCAGACUCCUACGGGAGGCAGCAGGAGGGAAUCUUCGGCAAUGGACGAAAGUCUGACCGAGCAACGCCGCGUGAGUGAAGAAGGUUUUCGGAUCGUAAAACUCUGUUGUUAGAGAAGCGGUAUCUAACCAGAAAGCCACGGCUAACUACGUGCCAGCAGCCGCGGUAAUAC